rnacentral:rRNA from 1 species
UACGGGGGGAGCAAGCGUUGUUCGGAUUUACUGGGCGUAAAGGGCGCGUAGGCGGCCACCGCAAGUCAGUUGUGAAAUCUCUGGGCUUAACCCAGAAGGGUCAACUGAUACUGCGGGGCUAGAGUGCAGAAGGGGCAACUGGAAUUCUCGGUGUAGCGGUGAAAUGCGUAGAUAUCGAGAGGAACACCUGCGGCGAAGGCGGGUUGCUGGGCUGACACUGACGCUGAGGCGCGAAAGCUAGGGGAGCGAACGGG